rnacentral:rRNA from 1 species
CUAGCAUAUCAUAAGCGAGAAAAGGAAACCCAACCCGGGAUGGCCCUAGUAACGGCGAGUGAAGCGGCAAGAGCUCAAAUUUGAAAGCUGGCUCCUUCGGGGUCCGCAUUGUAAUUUGCAGAGGAUGCUUCGGGAGCGGUCCCCAUCUAAGUGCCCUGGAACGGGCCGUCAUAGAGGGUGAGAAUCCCGUCUGGGAUGGGGUGCCCGCGCCCGUGUGAAGCUCCUUCGACGAGUCGAGUUGUUUGGGAAUGCAGCUCUAAUUGGGUGGUAAAUUUCAUCUAAAGCUAAAUAUUGGCCGGAGACCGAUAGCGCACAAGUAGAGUGAUCGAAAGAUGAAAAGCACUUUGAAAAGAGAGUUAAACAGCACGUGAAAUUGUUGAAAGGGAAGCGCUUGCGAUCAGACUCGCCCGCGGGGUUCAGCCGGCAUUCGUGCCGGUGUACUUCCCCGUGGGCGGGCCAGCGUCGGUUUGGGCGGCCGGUCAAAGGCCCCUGGAAUGUAACGCCUCUCGGGGCGUCUUAUAGCCAGGGGUGCCAUGCGGCCUGCCCGGACCGAGGAACGCGCUUCGGCUCGGACGCUGGCAUAAUGGUCGUAAGCGACCCGUCUUGAAACACGGACCAAGGAGUCUAACAUCUACGCGAGUGUUCGGGUGUCAAACCCGUGCGCGCAGUGAAAGCGAACGGAGGUGGGAACCCCCCCGGGGUGCACCAUCGACCGAUCCUGAUGUCUUCGGAUGGAUUUGAGUAAGAGCGUAGCUGUUGGGACCCGAAAGAUGGUGAACUAUGCCUGAAUAGGGCGAAGCCAGAGGAAACUCUGGUGGAGGCUCGCAGCGGUUCUGACGUGCAAAUCGAUCGUCAAAUUUGGGUAUAGGGGCGAAAGACUAAUCGAAACCAUCUAGUAGCUGGGUACUGCGAGU